UACGUAGGGUCCGAGCGUUGUCCGGAAUUAUUGGGCGUAAAGGGCUCGUAGGCGGUUUGUCACGUCGGGCGUGAAAACUCAGGGCUCAACCCUGAGCUUGCGGUCGAUACGGGCAUGACUGGAGUUCGGCAGGGGAGACUGGAAUUCCUGGUGUAGCGGUGAAAUGCGCAGAUAUCAGGAGGAACACCGGUGGCGAAGGCGGGUCUCUGGGCCGAUACUGACGCUGAGGAGCGAAAGCGUGGGGAGCAAACAGG
rnacentral:rRNA from 1 species